UCACCCGACAUUUUGAUUUCGACUCAACACCUUUUUUUUGUUCAUGCAAGCAACAUAGUUCAAUAAUGUAACUUUUUUUUUUUUUAAUAUGAAAAAAAACAAGAACAAAUAUGUUAAAUUUCAUCUCUUUUCUAUUUCCACUCUACCAUAAGUGCUUGCAGUUUUCAAUUGCUUCACUUAUGCUGCUAUCUUUCUUGGUGGAGAUGUGAAGUUUCCUUUCAUUGUGUACCAGACUAGUUUUCAAGCUGUUGUGUCAGACUAGUGAGUAUUGGGAGGCUUUUGGCUGUUAAGUAAUGCGAUUAAAGAUAGAUAUCUUUCUUGCAAGUGCUCACAUUAUAAAUUAAACUAUGUUGCUUCCUUCAAUAAUGUUCAUGAAAAUCUUAUAAUUGUUUAUAUUGUUCAUUUAACUUUUUUAACAUACUGGUGUUUUGAUGUCUAAAUUAACUGUUCUUUUUUCUUAUGACACUACACUCUGUGGAGAGAUUUGUUCAGUAGGUGUAUGUACUGCCUGAGUAUUCAUGAUUGUCUAAGCAUGUUGCAUAUUAAAAAUCAAGCACGCUUGAUUAUGUCAUUUGCCACAUAAAAACAGGAUGGUUAGUCUUGUGAGCUUGACAGGUUUCAUUUGACACCAUUUCACAAUAAGCACAAAUUGUAUUUCAUUUUCUGUGUUAUAACAGACUUUUUCCACGGGUAUUACUGGGUAUCACACUUCCUAAAUUAGAUAUAUUGGACACUUUUGAGGAUGUUGAGUAUAAUAGGUGCACUGUUGAGGUUUCUUUGAUGGUAUGUAUGGCUGAAAUCAUCUUAUAUUUUUGUAUGGAUCAUUGGUGCACUUAUAUUACCAUUUCAAACUGGGAGGUAUAAUAUAGAAACUAUUUCAAGGUGACAUUUUUGUUGCUUUCUUCAACUUUUUUUCUUGGUAAAAAUUUGGAUUAGGAAUUUGAUUUAGAAAGGUGGAAGGUUUUAUAUGGUCUUGGUUUUUGUAUAUGCAGGAAGGUUGGUCAGCCUUGAACUUUUAUAUUGAGGAUAAAUUCCAUCGUGCCACUCGUGGUGGACUCGUGGUGGAGCUAGAGGUGUCAAAUCCAUUACCAAUUAUGCCCCGAUGGAGGCACAUGAUUAUUGAUAGGGGUUGGUUGGUUGGUUAAAACUACAAGAGGUGAAAAGCUUAUUGGCUAUGUGCGGUUCAAGAGUGAGGUUGUGGCCUGUGAGAGCCAACAUGAUGAGUUGAAGGCAAAGUUUUUCGAGGAGAGAGUAGCCUUUGAAGCUAAAUACGAGAGCACGCUCCAUAUUAUUUUUUUAUUAAAAUGAGAAAAUAUUAGCAAUUUUAUUUUUAUUUUUUUGUAUUGAGUUAAAAUAUUGUGAUUUAAGGUUUUUGUUUUUGGUUAUGGAAAAUUGGAAAAUGAAUACUGACAUUCAUUA